GACGAACGCUGGCGGCGUGCUUAACACAUGCAAGUCGAACGGAAAGGCCCUGCUUUUGUGGGGUGCUCGAGUGGCGAACGGGUGAGUAACACGUGAGUAACCUGCCCUUGACUUUGGGAUAACUUCAGGAAACUGGGGCUAAUACCGGAUAGGAGCUCCUGCUGCAUGGUGGGGGUUGGAAAGUUUCGGCGGUUGGGGAUGGACUCGCGGCUUAUCAGCUUGUUGGUGGGGUAGUGGCUUACCAAGGCUUUGACGGGUAGCCGGCCUGAGAGGGUGACCGGCAACAUGGGGACUGAGAUACGCCCAAGCCUCCUAGGGGAGGCGGGGGUGGGGAAUAUGGCACAGGGGGGGGAGGCGUGAUGCAGCAACGCCGGGUGCGGGAUGAGGGCCUGGGGGUUGAAAACCGCUUUCGCCUGUGACGAGGGGGGAGUGAGGUGAAGGGGAAAAGAAGCCCCGGCUAACUCGGGG
rnacentral:rRNA from 1 species